rfam:Brassica napus, WGS project CCCW01000000 data, contig: 12331
GGAAAAUAAGAUUCCGUUUCUUAACUUUUAACUAAAAAGAUAAAAACCAUCAUUUAAAUAAGAGUUUUAAGAGACGGUUCUUAUCUUUUUUAGUUAAAAGUUAAAAGAUGUGUUCUUAUAUUCC